rnacentral:misc_RNA from 1 species
GGGUUCUACAACUCUUAGCUCUCAAAUCUUCAAUUCCAAAUCGAACAUGGCUACCAAAAUUUACAUAGUAUAUUAUUCAACGUAUGGGCAUGUGGAGAAGCUAGCAGAAGAGAUAAAGGAAGGGGCAGCAUCUGUUGAAGGAGUUGAAGCUAAAUUGUGGCAAGUACCUGAAACGUUGUCAGAAGAGGUGCUAGCGAAAAUGAGUGCACCUCCAAAGAGUGAUGUGCCUAUAAUAACACCACAAGAACUUGCUGAAGCUGAUGGUUUCGUUUUUGGAUUCCCUACAAGGUUCGGAAUGAUGUCCGCUCAGUUUAAAGCAUUCCUUGAUGCAACUGGAGGUCUAUGGAGAACACAACAACUAGCUGGCAAGCCUGCAGGCAUAUUCUAUAGCACUGGAUCCCAAGGCGGUGGACAAGAAACAACACCGUUGACUGCUAUAACUCAGCUUGUUCACCAUGGAAUG